rnacentral:rRNA from 1 species
CCUACGGGCGGCAGCAGUGAGGAAUAUUGGUCAAUGGGCGGAAGCCUGAACCAGCCAAGUAGCGUGCAUGAUGACGGCCCUACGGGUUGUAAAUUGCUUUUAUACGGGAAUAACGCGCCUUACGUGUAGGCCUUUGCAUGUACCGUAUGAAUAAGGACCGGCUAAUUCCGUGCCAGCAGCCGCGGUAAUACGGAAGGUACGGGCGUUAACCGGAUUGAUUGGGGUUAACGGGAGCGUAGGCCGCUUGUUAAGCGUGCUGUGAAAUGACCGGGCUCAACCCGGGCCUUGCAGCGCGCACUGGCGUGCUUGAGUCUGCGGAAGGCAGGCAGAAUU